GAGUAAACUUUGGUAAAGAAAUAAUUGCUCACCUCAAUCUACUCCUAAUAAAUGAGUCAGCAGCAAUCAACAAGUUCUUUUAGUUUAGUACAUCAACAGUAUCAGCUAACUUUGCAGAAUCGAGAUUAUUACAUAAAGCAUUGAAAAUCGUGUCAAGGCCGAGGUUACCGGUAAUGACUCAAAUGUUCAUAUCAAUUAGAUUUAUGCAACCUACACAGCUAGUACAGUGAAUCAUUCAAGCGGACAAGAUGAACUCAGUCAGAUUCGAAGCUAUAUUCAUGCUGAUCCGAUUCAGGCAUUUCGUCAAACAUGGGGUGAUCAAUUCGGACAAGAGAUCCAACUGCAACAUUGAAGCAUCUAUUCCAAUCCAAGCUACCACAACAGCAUCAAUAUGAGUUCAGAUAAUCAGUAAAUCAUUAAUCAGAGACGAUUUCACAUAAGUCUUAAUUAGACUUCUCCGCCUUUUUUUUCCUCCAAGGAUAGCUGAGAGCAGAGCAUAUGAAGGUAAAGUGCGAUCGCCGGUCACAAACUGUG